GAUCAACGCUGGCGGCGUGCCUAACACAUGCAAGUCGAACGCGAAAGGGGGCUUCGGCUCCUGAGUAGAGUGGCGUCCGGGUGAGUAACACGUAGGUAAUCUACCUUCGGGUGGGGAAGUAACCAGUCGAAAGAAUUGGCUAAUACCGCAUAAUGCAGCGGCACCUAAUGGUGAUUAGUUGUUAAAGACGGGGAGUCGUAAGACCUCGCGCCUGAAGAGGAGCCUGCGGCAGAUUAGCUAGUUGGUGAGGUAAUGC
rnacentral:rRNA from 1 species